rnacentral:rRNA from 1 species
CGUGUGGUUCUAUUUCGUUGGUUAUGGGACCGCCGUAAUGAUUAAUAGGGACAGUCGGGGGCAUCAGUAUUCAAUUGUCAGAGGUGAAAUUCUUGGAUUUAUUGAAGACUAACUACUGCGAAAGCAUUUGCCAAGGAUGUUUUCAUUAAUCAGGAACGAAAGUUAGGGGAUCGAAGACGAUCAGAUACCGUCGUAGUCUUAACCAUAAACUAUGCCGACUAGGGAUCGGGCGAUGUUACUUUUAGACUCGCUCGGCACCUUACGAGAAAUCAAAGUUUGUGGGUUCCUGGGGGAGUAUGGCGGCAACGCUGAAACUUAAAGAAAUUGACGGAAGGGCACCACCAGGGGUGGAGCCUGCGGCUUAAUUUGACUCAACACGGGGAAACUCACCAGGUCCAGACACAAUGAGGAUUGACAGAUUGAGAGCUCUUUCUUGAUUUUGUGGGUGGUGGUGCAUGGCCGUUCUUAGUUGGUGGAGUGAUUUGUCUGCUUAAUUGCGAUAACGAACGAGACCUUAACCUGCUAAAUAGCCCGUGUUGCUUCUGCAGCACGCCGGCUUCUUAGAGGGACUAUCGGCUCAAGCCGAUGGAAGUUUGAGGCAAUAACAGGUCUGUGAUGCCCUUAGAUGUUCUGGGCCGCACGCGCGCGACACUGACAGGGCCAGCGAGUUCUCCCUUGUCCGAAAGGACCGGGUAAUCUUGUUAAACCCUGUCGUGC